rnacentral:tRNA from 1 species
GCCGAGAUAGCUUAGGGGCGAAGCGGCGGACUGCAGAUCCGCUACACGGGGGUUCAAAUCCCUCUCUCGGCUCCA